AGGACGAACGCUUGCGACGUGCCUAAGAAAUGCAAGUCGAACGGAUCAGCAGCAAUGCUGGUUAGUGGCGAACGGUCGCGUAACACGUGGGCAACCUGCCCUGAAGCGGGGGACAACAACUCGAAAGAGUUGCUAAUACCGCAUGUGAAUCGCUGUGGCAUCACAGAGGAUUCAAAGCCGCAAGGCACUUCAGGAUGGGCCCGCGGCCUAUCAGCUUGUUGGUGAGGUAACGGCUCACCAAGGCUUCGACGGGUAGCUGGUCUGAGAGGACGAUCAGCCGGAUUGGGACUGAGAUACGGCCCAGACUCCUACGGGGGGCAGCAAUUAGGAAUCUUGCACAAUGGGCGAAAGCCUGAUGCAGCGACGUCGCGUGAAGGAUGAAAUCUUUCGGGAUGUAAACUUCUUUUACCAGGAAGAAUAAAUGACGGUACCUGGUAGAAUAACGCCCGGCUAACUACGUGCCAGCAGCCGCGGUAA
rnacentral:rRNA from 1 species